rnacentral:rRNA from 1 species
ACACGACUACAUUAGAUACCCCCGUAGUCCUAGCCGUAAACUAUGCUCGCUAGGUGUCAGGCAUGGCGCGACCGUGUCUGGUGCCGCAGGGAAGCCGUGAAGCGAGCCACCUGGGAAGUACGGCCGCAAGGCUGAAACUUAAAGGAAUUGGCGGGGGAGCACAACAACGGGUGGAGCCUGCGGUUUAAUUGGACUCAACGCCGGACAACUCACCGGGGACGACAGCAAUAUGUAGGCCAGGCUGAAGACCUUGCCUGAAUCGCUG